CUAGAUCAAAUCGUGGUCCAAUAGAUCAAAGCCUCAAGAAAAGUAGAUCAAAUCAUGGUCCAAAUUUCUCCAAUUUGUCAACCCCAAACCAUGGCACAUCAACACCAGAAUCGAUCGGCAACAGUUGAAAGACAAAAGAAAAGUAGAAAUAAAAGAGGGCGACGGCCCCCCUGUCGUCUACGGCACUGAGAGAGCAGCCAUUGGUGCAGGCUAGCCGGCGGUGGGAGGGGUCUCGCGCCGGCGAGCGGACGGCGGCGAGGGUGCUGUGGCUCGAUCCGGCCGAGGAUCCGAGCGGUGAGCGGACGGCAGCAGGGAGGCGGCGCUGUGGCUCGAUAGGGAAGACAACAGGGUCGGCGCUCCUGGAGAUCACGUUGGGACGACGAAGCAAUCGUUUCCGGCGGCGGCUCGAUGGAGAACAGUCUGGGUCGGGUUGGGCUGGACGUGGGCAUACGAUCGGAUGAUA
rnacentral:lncRNA from 1 species